UGAGGAACAUGACCUUCGGCGGGGGGAUAGCCGGCCCAACGGCCGGGUAAUACCGCGUACGACCACUUGGGGACAUCCUCGAGUGGUGAAAGCAGCAAUGCGCCGAUGAAGUGCCUCGCGGCCUAUCAGCUAGUUGGUGGGGUAACGGCUCACCAAGGCGACGACGGGUAGCUGGUCUGAGAGGAUGGCCAGCCACAUUGGGACUGAGACACGGCCCAGACUCCUACGGGAGCAG
rnacentral:rRNA from 1 species